rnacentral:rRNA from 1 species
CGUUUCACACUGUGCACACAUACUUUAUACACCUUUUUUAACACGAAGUCUAUAAGAAUGUACAAGUCUCUUCGGAGCAUAAAACAAGUAAAACUUUCAGCAACGGAUCUCUUGGCUCUCGCAUCGAUGAAGAACGCAGCGAAAUGCGAUACGUAAUGUGAAUUGCAGAAUUCAGUGAAUCAUCGAAUCUUUGAACGCACCUUGCACUCUUUGGUAUUCCGAAGAGUAUGUCUGUUUGAGUGUCAUGAAAUUCUCAACCCCCCUAUUCUGUAAUGGAGCAGGAGCGGGCUUGGAUUAUGGCUGCUGUCGGCUUGAUUGCCGGCUCGGCUGAAAUACACGAGUGCCCAAUUUGAAUAGGAACGGCUUGACUCGGCGUAAUAACUAUUUCGCUGAGGACGUUUCACAUCAAUACAGUGGUGCUUAUAACGCAUUGUCUAAGCUUUAGACCUCAAAUCAGAUAGGACUACCCGCUGAACUUAAGCAUAUCAAUAAGCGGAGGAAAAGAAACUAACAAGGAUUCCCCUAGUAACGGCGAGUGAAGUGGGAAAAGCUCAACUUUAAAUCUGGCAGCUUUGCUGUCCGAGUUGUAGUCUCGAGAAGUGUU